rnacentral:rRNA from 1 species
AUACGAGGGGUGCAAGCGUUAAUCGGAAUUACUGGGCGUAAAGCGUUCGUAGGCGGUUUGUUAAGCAAGAUGUGAAAGCCCUGGGCUCAACCUGGGAACUGCAUUUUGAACUGGCAAGCUAGAAUACUGUAGAGGGUGGUGGAAUUUCCAGUGUAGCGGUGAAAUGCGUAGAGAUUGGAAGGAACAUCAGUGGCGAAGGCGGCCACCUGGACAGAUAUUGACGCUGAGGAACGAAAGCGUGGGGAGCGAACAGGAUUAGAAACCCCAGUAGUCC